GACGAACGCUGGCGGCGUGCCUAAUACAUGCAAGUCGAACGCAGUGGGGACGGGUGAGUAACACGUGGGUAACCUCCCAUCAGAGGGUAUAACACUUGGAAACAGGUGCUAAACCGAUACUGAUGGAUUGACACGCGGUGCAUUAGCUAGUUGGUGAGGUAACGGCUCACCAAGGCCACGACGCAUAGCCGACCGGAGAGGUGGAUGGGCAAAACGGGGAUGGGGCCCCGGCCCAGACUCCGACGGAAGGAAGCAUAAGGGAAUCUUCGGCAAGGGACGAAAGUCUGACCGGGCAAGGCCGCGUGAGGGAAGAAGGUUUUCGGAUCGUAAACCUCGGUGGUUAGGGAAGCGGUAUCUAACCAGAAAGCGACGGCUAACUACGUGCCAGCAGCCGCGGUAAUAC
rnacentral:rRNA from 1 species